GGUGGCUCACGCCUAUAAUCCCAGCACUUUGGGAGGCCGAGACCAGAAGGAAUCAGAGCCUACUAGGCUUCCCCCCAUUAUCUCAAAAGAUGGGAAUUAUUCCGUGCACCAGAAUAGCCACACAAGAUACCACGAAGCUGUCCGGAAGGUGUUGUUGAAGACAUUUCCCAAUCAGGUCUUCAGAAUCCCCUUGACUGAUGCUCAGAACUUCAGCUUCUGGCAGUCCCAUGAUCCAGGAGUGCGUCCAGAGGAAACCAUGCCAUGGAUCCGGAGCCCACGCCACUGUCUCAUAAAAAGCGAGAUGACCAGGUUUAUGGAUCACUCUAUUCUCAAUGACAGAACCUUCAGUCUGUAUUAAGAAGAUAUGGCUGCAGAAAGACAAGAGGAAUUGUGGCAAGAGUGCAAAGGGGGGGAAAGAAGGAGGUUUCCCAGUUCCGAUGGCUAACUAAUGGGAGGAGGAUAUGGAGAAAGCAGAGUAAACAGAUUGGACUAAAA